CUCAGGAUGAACGCUGGCGGCGUGCUUAACACAUGCAAGUCGAGCGAAGCACUUCUUUAGAACUCUUCGGAGGGAAGAGAGGGUGACUUAGCGGCGGACGGGUGAGUAACGCGUGGGCAACCUGCCUUACACAGGGGGAUAACAAUUAGAAAUGAUUGCUAAUACCGCAUAAGACCCCGGUACCGCAUGGUACAGAGGUAAAAACUGAGGUGGUGUAAGAUGGGCCCGCGUCUGAUUAGGUAGUUGGUGGGGUAGAAGCCUACCAAGCCGACGAUCAGUAGCCGACCUGAGAGGGCGACCGGCCACAUUGGGACUGAGACACGGCCCAAACUCCUACGGGAGGCAGCAGUGGGGAAUAUUGCACAAUGGGGGAAACCCUGAUGCAGCGACGCCGCGUGAGUGAGGAAGUAUUUCGGUAUGUAAAGCUCUAUCAGCAGGGAAGAAAAUGACGGUACCUGACUAAGAAGCCCCGGCUAACUACGUGCCAGCAGCCGCGGUAAUACGUAGGGGGCAAGCGUUAUCCGGAUUUACUGGGUGUAAAGGGAGCGUAGACGGAUAAGCAAGUCUGAUGUGAAAAUCCGGGGCCCAACCCCGGAAUUGCAU
rnacentral:rRNA from 1 species